AUAUAGGUGCCUAUGAGUUUUUAACGGCAUAGGUGAAAAGGGAAUCUGGUGAGAAUCCAGAGCGAAGCCGUCACUGUGUUAGGGAGUGUGUGUUCAUGUCACUGAGUUUACUUGGGAAGAGAAGACACAUGUUGAUCGAAGUCAGGAGACCUGCCUAUUUC
rnacentral:ncRNA from 1 species